rnacentral:rRNA from 1 species
CAAAGGUUUGGUCCUGGCCUUGUCAUCAAUUUUUACUUAACUUACACAUGCAAGUAUCCGCACUCCUGUGAAAACGCCCUUAAUACCCUCCUGGGAAAAGGAGCCGGUAUCAGGCACAUUAAAUUGCCCAAGACACCUAGCUAUGCCACAUCCACAAGGAACUUCAGCAGUGAUUAACUUUGAAAAUGAGCGUCAGCUCGACUCAGUUAAAGUAUAGAAAGCCGGCAAAUCUGGUGCCAGCCGCCGCGGUUACACCAAGAGGCUUACAUUGACUUCAAUCGGCGUAAAGCGUGAUUAAAGUAAAUUCAAAUUAAAGUUAAACUAGAGCUAAGCCGUAGUACGCUUGCAUCUAAGAACACCAAAAACGAAAGUUACUUUAAAUUAAACAACUUGAAUUCACGACAGUUAAAACACAAACUGGGAUUAGAUACCCCACUAUGUUUAACCGUAAACUUUAAAUUACAUCUCAAUCGCCUGGGAACUACGAGCAAAGCUUAAAACCCAAAGGACUUGACGGUACCCCACAUCCACCUAGAGGAGCCUGUCC